UCUUUGCCAACUGCGCGUCUUUCUCCCGUGUUCUUCUCAAUCGGGAAGGAAGCACUGAAGUUUUUCUCAUUGGGCCACGUGCCCCCCCAUCUGCCCCCACCACAGGAGUGCACCAUCACCACAAGCGCUCGCAUUCCCUGCAAACGUCAUAGACGCAUAAAUACACAGAUGCGCACGCAAGAGCGCUCCUCACGCGAGCACAUAAAAGGUUUUUCAGGUAGCGCCGAUCCACCGUCGAGAAGGUUCGCACCAACGCAUCAAGAAGCGACUGAAAAGGAGUAGCAGCGUACCCAAAGAGGACAGCGCUCUCUGUGAAGUCGCGUGCUAUGCCGUUUCGCUUUCGUCUUCGCGACCCACCUAGCGAUGUCGCCUUCCUCUCCCUCGUCGACGGCGAGACUCUGUACAACGCCGACGGUGCUGCCACGCGGGAUGUGAAGGAGGCGACAAUUCGCCAGAUGGGAUGGCACCGCGUUGAGUUGCCGCAGGAUUGGUUUCUCUCACGCCACGCACUCGACACCUCCAGACAGCUCGUCCAGGGGAUGCAAUGCACCAUGCAGUACCUGAAGUACUGCUGCAAAAACGAAGAGAGGCGCGCGCAAAAGGCGACGGCGCAGCUUCGGCGUUGCGAGGAGGAGCUCAUAGAGCUGCGCGAGUGUGUGGCAGUGUAUAAGCAGCAGCUGCGUGAGCUCCGACAGGAGCGGCAGCGUGCGAGGUCAACUCCAUCGCGCGCGCCUCUGACCAGAGAGGGACAGGCGAGCCAUUCACGGGGAGCUGUGGACACCGUGCUUCAGCUAGCCUGCAGUUUCUGCGGAAAUGUGUACCCAAGUCGGCACGCAGUCGAAUCGCACAUACGAAAGCGGCACAAGCGGUUAGAAGGAUGCGCUGUCAUGGCAGCCGGCUCCGCUGCUGUCUCUCUGAAGCAGUUCGAAGCCGCAACCCAAGCUCCCACUUCUUCGGCGCAGGCGCCGCCUGGUGGCCUUUUCGUGGAUCAUGUGCCCACAGUGCUGCAGGAGACUGCUGACAAAUGUGGCGAUCGCGGCUUGCGAAAGGAGAUCAGCGAACUGCGGCUGGCGGUGGCAAAACUCAUGGAGCAGCAAGCAGCUCUGCAGCGUGGCAUGCCACCGUCCUACGUGGCCGCGGCACCGAAGCAGUCAGCGGGGGAGGCAGUCACGGCAGGAGAGGCGGUGGCAAGCAGCGGCCCCCUUUCCGGCCUGCAACAGCGCGGUAGUAGAUUGGACGAAGAGGACAUUCUGCUUCGUAUUCACCGAGAGCUGUUGCGCACCGGCGCAGAACUUCAGCAGUUGCAGAGCGCCGUCGGCAGGGAGAGUGAACAAGGUAGGCGGAGCGCUGCUGACGAUCGCGGCUCCUGCAACUUGAGAAACGACCUGCCACGAAAGCAGGCGCAACAGCAGCAUCGUGAUCCCUUGGCGGCGCCACGAAGCACGCGAGCUGCCCUCACGCUUGAUCCGCAGAGCGUUCUGCACGGCCCUCCACGCACCGAAGGCAGUGACGGCGGAGAGGCGGCACGGCGACGAGGGAGCGCAGGUGAAAGUCUUGUCGUUGUGUCCCCCAUCACGCCCCCAGCAGCGGCAAGGGCACGGACGCAGCACGCACUCGCCAAUCGGGAGGACAUAACUGCUGCACUCAAGCAGAAAGACGUGGAAGAGUUGCCGCUCAUGGCGUCAGAAAGUCCGUGCGGCAUCCUCAGCGGCCCGGGCGCCUCUCUAGAAACUAAGCCACCAGCCGGUGCCAUGAGCACGAUGUCGCCUUUCCCCUCGUCCGCACUGGGCCUUCCCUUUGGUGGGAACAGCGUCGUCGAUGCCGCUGGUGCAGCCCGCAUCACGGGUGAUCGCAGCCCCGACGGCCUCGGUGCUACAACUCGAGGGGGCGACGGCGAGCAGACGGCCUCGCGGGAGCCGGGAGCCACGCAACUGGUGCUGCCGAGUUCUGCCUCCCAGAGCUACUUACCCUGGAUGAGGCCCGAGUCGGCGACGGCGCGCUUUGGCAGAGCAGAUCCUGCGUCGGCGAAUCGCUACGGCUCUGCACCGAUUGACGAGGCGACGUCAUGGACGAGGGGACUCCUCCUUCCAGCUGCGGAGAAGAAGGUGCCGGCGCAGCUCAACCUGCUUCCGGCUUUUACAAGAAGAGACGCGACGCCAACGCCUAGCCUCGCAGCAGCCGAGGUGAUGACUAACUCGAAGAGGGAACUUAUCCCCGCCAUGUCAACCGGUGCGCCGCGCCACCGUAGUUUCUUGGAGAGUAGCGAGGCCGCAUUGCCGGGGGAGGCGUGCCGGCGGUCGAGCGGCGCCACGCCAGGUGAGCAGGUUGGGGCAAGUGCGGUGCACAUGGUGUCGAACCAGCACCAAGUGGCACGUGAUGAGGAGCGGGGUCGUACCCAGUUAGCGUUUUGCGAGCAGACGCUGCCGGGGGACCGCGUCGCGUCAGUGCCGGUGCUGAGCGUUCCUGGCAGUGCACCUUUCCCUGGCAGUGCAGCGGCGGGCGCUGAGCGGCCGCAGUGCUCACAGGCAGCGGCGCCCGGCGCCGGGGUGGGGAAGGGCAGCAACGGUGGCGAUGUGAGGGAGAGUCUUACGAGCCGACCGCACGUCCCCGUCGUGCGAGCCCAGCAUUCGUUGGCGGCUACCGUUCAGACCGAGCACGGUUCUACAUCGAAAAUGAUCCCGGCUGUGCACCUCGUGCCGGCGGCGGCGUCCGAGUCGGGCGACGCAUCGCUACAGGAUCCGCAAAAGCGAAAAGAAGAGCAUGUGCAGGGUGAAAGGCCGUCCUUCUCUGCGUUCUUGCCACAGGCGACGCGAGGGCUGGAUGAGAGCCGCCAGCAAAGCGCGGCUCCCCAGCCACAGCCGCUUCGCAGUGGCGACGAGGACAGUAGCGAAAGCAAGGCUGGCGCUGAGGAUACCGACUCUUACUCGGUCGAGAUACCGCCACUCGAGGCCUCGGAGCAGGGCGACGCCGACGAUGGGCCCUGUAGCGUUCCCCUGGACGCCACAGUGGAGGAGGGGAGCAAUGUGAACGAGGGUUUCUUUGGCCACCUCGUCAUGGAGGAUGUGUCGAGCGAUAAGCUCGCUGAUCCCACCCCUUACGCGGUAGAUGAUGCACGCGCUACGCGGCUACCCGCCUUCGGCGCCAGAGAUGAUGACAUCGAAGAGGAUGCUUCCCGCUUCAUGAGUUACAACCUCGCGAGACCGACGGACGGUGGCGCAAGCACGCCAAGUCAGGCAGACCGGCCCACUCCUGAGUCGAUACCGGCCGGUUGCUCCUACUACACAUAUUCGUAUUCGUACUCGGACGACGACGACGACGACGAAGAGGCUGAGGAGGCGGGGGGGACUGCUCAAGAAGGUAUCCCCGUUAAGUUGCGCGUAAACGACGGCGGGAAAGAAACGCAGCAAGCAUCUGCCAUCCACGACAGCGCUGCCGCGGGUUUUCCAGAGUCCACUUUUCACGCGGACGUGACCCCUGUGGCGCACGCUGAGUGGGCGCCGACAUCUGGGGAAGUGGCUGCGCAGCGCGAGGACGUCGGUAAGGCAGGCGCAGAAAAACUCAAGAAGUCACGGCAGGGCGUUAAAGGCAAUGCGAGGCUGUCGGCCGCCCAGCAAGGUGCGCCGAGCCCGAAACAGCAACCACCUGCACGAGUAGGCCGCGGUGGGAAACCGGCCAGCGAGGAGCCUUCCAUCGUGGCGCGGCGCCACUCUUCGCAGCCGUCGGACCCUGCACCGCAACAGGUGGUGAAAAAGGGGAAGGGCUUCUUGGCAAAGUUUUUUUCCAAAAAGGGCAAGUGAUUUCGUCACAGCAGACGGCGGCAACGGUGUGCGAUGAAACAAAAGAGAAAGAACUGCGCAGUAGACAUACGAAUGCCAUCGGUGGCACGUACCCCCGCCCUGCCGGUGGGGCGGACGGGGCACUACAUCCUUCUGUCUCUCCCUUCCCCUUCAUGGGUGCCGCAUAGAAGUGCAAGCACACGAAGCGCCAUAGAGAGGGUGCUGUAUUACAUCAUGGCAAUACGGAUGCCACUCUCUGUGCAGGGCUCAGCAACGUUGCCCUCGCAGUGCCACAAAC
rnacentral:misc_RNA from 1 species